rnacentral:sRNA from 1 species
UUCUCACAGCUUGAAACAACGCCUGCUACUUUAAAUCCAUAUUACGCUGCAUUUGUAUAGAAUCUCGUCCUGUGAUUUUCAAGAGUAAAGACAACAUUUCAAUGCUACAUGCGCCGAUAUUGGCGCGGAAAAUUACAUAUAUUUAGGAAAAGAUCAUGUCAAAUACAGUGACUGGAAAAGUUAAGUGGUUCAACGAAUCUAAAGGUUUCGGAUUUAUUGAGCGUGAAGGUGGACCAGACGUAUUCGCACAUUUCAGUGCAAUCCAAGGUAACGGCUUCAAAACUUUGACUGAAGGUCAAGCGGUACAAUUCACCGUGACUCAAGGUCAAAAAGGACCUCAAGCUGAAAACAUCGUUGCUAUCUAAGCAAACCUUGUUUCGCUAACGAAUCGUUAAAGCAGGCUCUUAGCCUGCUUUUUUAU